AUUGAACGCUGGCGGCAGGCCUAACACAUGCAAGUCGAGCGGGGUUUUCGGACCUAGCGGCGGACGGGUGAGCAAUGCGUAGGAAGCUACCCGAUAGAGGGGGAUACCAGUUGGAAACGACUGUUAAUACCGCAUAAUGUCUACGGACCAAAGUGUGGGACCUUCGGGCCACAUGCUAUCGGAUGCGCCUACGUGGGAUUAGCUAGUUGGUGGGGUAAUGGCUCACCAAGGCGACGAUCCCUAGCUGGUUUGAGAGGAUGAUCAGCCACACUGGAACCGAGACACGGUCCAGACUCCUACGGGAGGCAGCAGUGGGGAAUACUGGACAAUGGGCGCAAGCCUGAUCCAGCCAUGCCGCGUGUGUGAAGAAGGCCUUCGGGUUGUAAAGCACUUUCAGUAGGGAGGAAGGGUGUUGUGUUAAUAGCACAGCAUUUUGACGUUACCUACAGAAGAAGCACCGGCUAACUCUGUGCCAGCAGCCGCAGUAAAAC
rnacentral:rRNA from 1 species